AUUGAACGCUGGCGGCAUGCCUUACACAUGCAAGUCGAACGGCAGCACGGGGCAACCUGGUGGCGAGUGGCGAACGGGUGAGUAAUGCAUCGGAACGUACCUUUCAGUGGGGGAUAACGUAGCGAAAGUUACGCUAAUACCGCAUAUUCUGUGAGCAGGAAAGCAGGGGAUCGCAAGACCUUGCGCUGAUUGAGCGGCCGAUGUCAGAUUAGCUAGUUGGUGAGGUAAAGGCUCACCAAGGCGACGAUCUGUAGCGGGUCUGAGAGGAUGAUCCGCCACACUGGAACUGAGACACGGUCCAGACGCCUACGGGAGGCAGCAGUGGGGAAUUUUGGACAAUGGGGGCAACCCUGAUCCAACCAUGCCGCGUGAGUGAAGAAGGCCUUCGGGUUGUAAAGCUCUUUCGGCCGGGAAGAAAUCGCACGGGCUAAUACCCUGUGUGGAUGACGGUACCGGGAUAAGAAGCACCGGCUAACUACGUGCCAGCAGCCGCAGUAAUAC
rnacentral:rRNA from 1 species